rnacentral:tRNA from 1 species
GUGCCCGUAGCUCAGUUGGAUAGAGCAACGGCCUUCUAAGCCGUGGGUCAGGAGUUCGAAUCUCUUCGGGCACG